UAUUGUGCCUCAGGAGCAGGUUGUGUGCAAGGCUUAGGACCUUGGGGAGUGAGGUUGUGUUUGGGUGU
rnacentral:tRNA from 1 species